rnacentral:rRNA from 1 species
GACGAACGCUGGCGGCGUGCUUAACACAUGCAAGUCGAACGAUGAAAGAGGAGCUUGCUCCUCUGGAUUAGUGGCGAACGGGUGAGUAACACGUGAGCAAUCUGCCCCUGACUCCGGAAUAACUACGGGAAACUGUAGCUAGUACCGGAUAUGCGCCGAACAGGCAUCUGUAUCGGUGGGAAAGAAUUUCGGUCAGGGAUGAGCUCGCGGCCUAUCAGCUUGUUGGUGAGGUAACGGCUCACCAAGGCGACGACGGGUAGCCGGCCUGAGAGGGUGACCGGCCAAAGUGGGCGUGAGACCGGCCACGACCCCCGCGGGGGGCAGCAGGGGGGAAUGUUGCACAAAGGGGAGCAGGCCGGAUCCACAACCCCCGGGGGGGGGAGGAGGCCUUCGGGUUGUAAACCCUUUUUAGGAGGGAAAAAGCCAAAAGGGGGGUUCCCUAAAAAAAAAGCCCCGACAAACACGGGC